UACGUAGGGUGCGAGCGUUGUCCGGAAUUAUUGGGCGUAAAGAGCUUGUAGGCAGUUUGUCGCGUCUGCUGUGAAAAUCGGGGGCUCAACCCCGGACUUGCAGUGGGUACGGGCAGACUAGAGUGUGGUAGGGGAGACUGGAAUUCCUGGUGUAGCGGUGAAAUGCGCAGAUAUCAGGAGGAACACCGGUGGCGAAGGCGGAUCUCUGGGCCAUUACUGACGCUGAGGAGCGAAAGCGUGGGGAGCGAACAGGAUUAGAUACCCGGGUAGU
rnacentral:rRNA from 1 species